CAGCAGCCGCGGUAAAACGUAGGUGGCAAGCGUUGUCCGGAAUUAUUGGGCGUAAAGGGCUCGCAGGCGGUUUCUUAAGUCUGAUGUGAAAGCCCCCGGCUCAACCGGGGAGGGUCAUUGGAAACUGGGAAACUUGAGUGCAGAAGAGGAGAGUGGAAUUCCACGUGUAGCGGUGAAAUGCGUAGAGAUGUGGGGGAACACCAGUGGCGAAGGCGACUCUCUGGUCUGUAACUGACGCUGAGGAGCGAAAGCGUGGGGAGCGAACAGGAUUAGAUACCCCAGUAGUCCCUGUCUCUUAUAC
rnacentral:rRNA from 1 species